rnacentral:miRNA from 2 species
UCCUCCAUGCACUUUGAUGACU